UUUGAAAUGAUAAUGGAACCAUGCCAAAAUACACUGCAUACCACGACUAAGAAAUGAAUCAAUGCAUUAGUGCAAGUCAAGACCUCAUACCUGCAAGAACAAGUCAGCCACAUUAUAAUGCACAAUACCUAGCUGCUAUGAAUCAACAGAAUCAUCCUACUGGACAAAUCAAGCACAAACCAUUAGGCAAUGGAAAUUGAAAACCAUGAUCCGCAAGUUUGCACACAAAACCAGCAUCAUUAAAC
rnacentral:lncRNA from 1 species